GUACACUCCUACGGGAGGCAGCAGUGGGGAAUAUUGGACAAUGGGCGCAAGCCUGAUCCAGCCAUGCCGCGUGAGAGAUGAAGGCCCUAGGGUUGUAAAGCUCUUUCACCGGAGAAGAUAAUGACGGUAUCCGGAGAAGAAGCCCCGGCUAACUUCGUGCCAGCAGCCGCGGUAAUACGAAGGGGGCUAGCGUUGUUCGGAAUUACUGGGCGUAAAGCGCACGUAGGCGGAUCGAUCAGUCAGGGGUGAAAUCCCAGGGCUCAACCCUGGAACUGCCUUUGAUACUGUCGAUCUGGAGUAUGGAAGAGGUGAGUGGAAUUCCGAGUGUAGAGGUGAAAGUCGUAGAUAUUCGGAGGAACACCAGUGGCGAAGGCGGCUCACUGGUCCAUUACUGACGCUGAGGUGCGAAAGCGUGGGGAGCAAACAGGAUUAGAUACCCCUGUAGUCCCAUGAU
rnacentral:rRNA from 1 species